GACGAACGCUGGCGGCGUGCUUAACACAUGCAAGUCGAACGGAGAGGCCCUGCUUUUGUGGGGUGCUCGAGUGGCGAACGGGUGAGUAACACGUGAGUAACCUGCCCUUGACUUUGGGAUAACUUCAGGAAACUGGGGCUAAUACCGGAUAGGAGCUCCUGCUGCAUGGUGGGGGUUGGAAAGUUUCGGCGGUUGGGGAUGGACUCGCGGCUUAUCAGCUUGUUGGUGGGGUAGUGGCUUACCAAGGCUUUGACGGGUAGCCGGCCUGAGAGGUGGACCGGCCACAUUGGGACUGAGAGACGGCCCAGACUCCUACGGGAGGCAGCAGUGGGGAAUAUGGCACAAUGGGCGGAAGCCUGAUGCAGCAACGCCGCGUGCGGGAUGACGGCCUUCGGGGUGUAAACCGCUUUCGCCUGUGACGAAGCGUGAGUGACGGUAAUGGGUAAAGAAGCACCGGCUAACUACGUG
rnacentral:rRNA from 1 species